GAUGAACGCUGGCGGCGUGCCUAAUACAUGCAAGUCGAGCGAACAGACGAGGAGCUUGCUCCUCUGACGUUAGCGGCGGACGGGUGAGUAACACGUGGAUAACCUACCUAUAAGACUGGGAUAACUUCGGGAAACCGGAGCUAAUACCGGAUAAUAUAUUGAACCGCAUGGUUCAAUAGUGAAAGACGGUUUUGCUGUCACUUAUAGAUGGAUCCGCGCCGCAUUAGCUAGUUGGUAAGGUAACGGCUUACCAAGGCAACGAUGCGUAGCCGACCUGAGAGGGUGGUCGGCCACCCUGGAACUGAGACACGGUCCAGACUACUAAGGGAGGCAGCAGUAGGGAAUCUUCCGCAAUGGGCGAAAGCCUGACGGAGCAACGCCGCGUGAGUGAUGAAGGUGUUCGGAUCGUAAAACUCUGUUAUUAGGGAAGAACAAAUGUGUAAGUAACUAUGCACGUCUUGACGGUACCUAAUCAGAAAGCCACGGCUAACUACGUG
rnacentral:rRNA from 1 species